GACGAACGCUGGCGGCGUGCUUAACACAUGCAAGUCGAACGAUGAAGUUCCUUCGGGAAUGGAUUAGUGGCGAACGGGUGAGAAACACGUGAGAAACCUGCCUUUCAUUUUGGGAUAACUCCGGGAAACCGGAGCUAACACCGAAUACUCCGUCUCGGCGGCAUCGCUGAGCCGGGAAAAAAUUUUGAUGAAAGAUGGUCUCGCGGCCUAUCAGCUAGUUGGUGAGGUAAUGGCUCACCAAGGCGACGACGGGUAGCCGGCCUGAGAGGGCGACCGGCCACACUGGGACUGAGACACGGCCCAGACUCCUACGGGAGGCAGCAGUGGGGAAUAUUGGGCAAUGGGCGCAAGCCUGACUCAGCGACGCCGCGUGAGGGAUGAAGGCCUUCGGGUUGUAAACCUCUUUCAGUAGGGAAGAAGCGAAAGUGACGGUACCUAAAAAAGAAGCACCGGCUAACUAUGUGCCAGCCGCCGCAGUAA
rnacentral:rRNA from 1 species